UACCCAGACUCCUACGGGAGGCAGCAGUGAGGAAUAUUGGUCAAUGGUCGGGAGACUGAACCAGCCAAGCCGCGUGAGGGAAGACGGCCCUACGGGUUGUAAACCUCUUUUGUCGGGGAGCAAAGAGAGUCACGUGUGACUCAUUGAGAGUACCCGAAGAAAAAGCAUCGGCUAACUCCGUGCCAGCAGCCGCGGUAAUACGGAGGAUCCGAGCGUUAUCCGGAUUUAUUGGGUUUAAAGGGAGCGUAGAUGGGUUGUUAAGUCAGGUGUGAAAGUUUGCGGCUCAACCGUAAAAUUGCAAUUGAUACUGGCAGCCUUGAGUACAGGUGAGGUAGGCGGAAUUCGUGGUGUAGCGGUGAAAUGCUUAGAUAUCACGAAGAACCCCGAUUGCGAAGGCAGCCUGCCGCAGCGUUACUGACGCUGAAGCUCGAAAGCGCGGGUAUCGAACAGGAUUAGAUACCCGAGUAC
rnacentral:rRNA from 1 species